rnacentral:rRNA from 1 species
UCAUGCAGUCGAGGGGGCAGCAAUGUCACCGGCGAACGGGUGCGUAACGCGUAUGCAACCUGGCCAUAUCAGGGGGAUAGCCCUAGGAAACUGGGAUUAAUACCGCAUAAUACAGGGAUUGGCAUCAAGUCCUGUUGAAAGAUUUAUCGGAUAUGGAUGGGCAUGCGUAGGAUUAGUUAGUUGGUGAGGUAACGGCUUACCAAGACGAUGAUCCUUAGGGGCUCUGAGAGGAGUAUCCCCCACACUGGCACUGAGAUACGGGCCAGACUCCUACGGGAGGCAGCAGUAGGGAAUAUUGGGCAAUGGAGGCAACUCUGACCCAGCCAUGCCGCGUGCAGGAAGACGGUCCUCUGGAUUGUAAACUGCUUUUGAAUGGGAAGAAACGUAGCUUUGCGAAGCUAUUUGACGGUACUAUUAGAAUAAGCACCGGCUAACUCCGUGCCAGCAGCCGCGGUAAUACGGAGGGUGCAAGCGUUAUCCGGAUUUAUUGGGUUUAAAGGGUGCGUAGGCGGCUUUAUAAGUCUGGGGUUAAAGGCGGCAGCUUAACUGUACGCAUGCCCUGGAAACUGUGAAGCUUGAGUGACUUGGAGGUAGCUAGAAUUCCCUGUGUAGCGGUGAAAUGCAUAGAUACGGGGAGGAAUACCGAUUGCGAAGGCAUGUUACUACGAGUAAACUGACGCUGAUGCACGAAAGCGUGGGGAUCAAACAGGAUUAGAUACCCUGGUAGUCCACGCCGUAAACGAUGAUUACUAGUUGUUGGGCGAUAGCUCAGUGACCAAGGGAAACCGAUAAGUAAUCCACCUGGGGAGUACGCCGGC